rnacentral:rRNA from 1 species
AGUGAACGCUGGCGGUAGGCCUAACACAUGCAAGUCGAACGGCAGCACAGUAAGAGCUUGCUCUUACGGGUGGCGAGUGGCGGACGGGUGAGGAAUACAUCGGAAUCUACUUUUUCGUGGGGGAUAACGUAGGGAAACUUACGCUAAUACCGCAUACGACCUACGGGUGAAAGCAGGGGAUCUUCGGACCUUGCGCGAUUGAAUGAGCCGAUGUCGGAUUAGCUAGUUGGCGGGGUAAAGGCCCACCAAGGCGACGAUCCGUAGCUGGUCUGAGAGGAUGACCAGCCACACUGGAACGGAGACACGGUCCAGACUCCUACGGGAGGCAGCAGUGGGGAAUAUUGGACAAUGGGCGCAAGCCUGAUCCAGCCAUACCGCGUGGGUGAAGAAGGCCUUCGGGUUGUAAAGCCCUUUUGUUGGGAAAGAAAAGCAGCAGGUUAAUACCCCGCUGUUCUGACGGUACCCAAAGAAUAAGCACCGGCUAACUUCGUG